CAACAGUGGUCCCAGUAGUGAUUGGGACACUGGGGGCAGUAACCCCUAGUAGAGGGCUCCAACAGAUUCCUCGCCCAGCGUCCUUGUAGGUGGCCUCCUGUCCACACUGGGAUGAGAUCACAUGUUCGCAGGGGGAGGCCAGUGUGUGUUCGUCCUCUGCACUGCAGCACUAUCUGAGCUAAUCUGAUCUCAGGCUGUGGUGGAGCAGAGAAUGCUGCUCAGUUGAAAAACAUUGACGUUACUGCUACAUUAAUUUCACUGAC
rnacentral:lncRNA from 1 species